CCUACAAUUGAAGGUUUUCAGAUCACUGUUCAUGUACUAUCUUUUUUUUUGUUACGGGAGAGGAGUGGGUUGGGCCUAUUGAGUUAUAUGGUGGCCCCUUUCACUGCUAUUCUUCACCUUCUCUUCUUUCUCUUCCCGUAGGCAAGCGUCAGCUGCUUACUUGCCGUCCCUUUGAUUCAACGUGUUGCUGAGAUCAUAGCCUAAUUUCUUGGAUAGCUUGCUGCUUUCCUUUCACCUACUUCAUCAUCCUCUUGAAGUAGCUACCUCUGUUAGUAGCCCAGUUCACGACAGCAUCAAAGGUUUCUGCCUCUAUCCUUCCUCUUCCCCUAGCACUGUUCACGCGUCAUCUUCCUCCUCACGUAGGCACUGUUCACGCGGCAGAUCUAGGGUCCAUAGCGUAGGCACUUAUGCCACAGAGCAGAGACAAGAUCUUUGUCUUCCUCUGACUGCCUAUGCUCUGUUCCUUUAACCGUACCUCUGUAGCUAGGGUAGCGUGAGGGUUCUGCAAUCGAUGCUCAAUUUCCAACUGGAUCCAACUGGCGUGAUUUGAUGCAUGCCUAAAUUUAUGCUUAUAAAUUGAUCACUUUCUGAUCUCAUACGCUGCUCACCUGCUUGUGGUACUUCUUCGUGAAGGGCUCCCUCUUUCUGGUCUAAAGCAAGUGUUGUUUCUGCUUUCUGCUUUCUGGUCUAAAGCAAGAGAGGUCAUUGCAUGUUAAUUCUUCACCAAGAACAGUUGUUGCCAACAGCAACUAAAAUCUGAUGUUCUCCUUGGUGGGGAUUCAAAUGCAGUUGGGGAGUUAUCCAGUAACCCAAAGUUUGACAGUGUCAGCCGUUAAAGAACACUCUAAUCAGUUGUUGAAUCAUCAUUCUCAGAGAUUGGAUCCAAUAGACUAGCUUACUUUCAGGUGAAGACAUCAACUGUAAUUGCUGGCCCGAUUCCCAGUUGAAGGUUCUGGAAGCUUCAACCUCCCCUGCCGGCUAGAUUGGAAACCUACGUCGUCCUCAAAAAACCAGCUGGGAAAUUUGCUUUACAGGUUGGUUCAUAAUUUCUUGGGUAGCUUAUAGCCUUGACUGGCACCUACUUCAUAAUCCGCUGAGAGCUAAUGAUGUCAAACUUCUAUAAAUUGGUCAUCUUCCUUCCUGUUCUCCCAGAGGAAGGUAUAUUUUGUUUCAAUGGUAAAGGGUAAAAAGCUUCAGAGUAAGAUGAAGAACAAAUAGAAGCUAGGACUGAGUAAAAUAGUGAUUAAAAGAGCCUUCAGCUGUUGGCUUCAGCUACCUCCAGCCACAAAGUGUGCCAAAGAAGGAACAGAGGCAGGAGCUGAAUCGAAACCAGGGUCCAAGUCACUAAUUUGGUGUUGUUUACUUCUCACAACAGAAGAGGAAAGUUCCUGAUGCAUCAGACCCUCUUCACAACCGUUGAGUCAUGGCUUGAUGAUUUUGUUUGCCUAUUAGUUAAGCGAGAAGGAGCCAAAGUUGGAAACUGGGAUGUUAAAUUCCGUAGAGGUACUGUUAAAAUUCUUUGAAGCAUUUUGCCAACCAUGGUUGGAUGUUAUGAGGGUGUGGGAAGCUGUUUUAUUCAAAAUACAAUUAGGCCAAUAUUUGCUACUGUUCACAUGUUUGGAUCAGCUUAUUAUUUCACAGAAUCAAUUAUGGCACGCAGAAGCUUCUCCCCGUAAUUUACUCUGAUUUAGAUUCAAUGGUAGAAGGAUUUCUAAACAUGUUAUUAGGCGGUUGAUCAGUUAGAAACCCCCACCCCCAUAUACUGUAUUGUGCUGUAAUCUAUACAUGAUAUGUAAUUAUAGCCAUUUAUUCAGUUUUCUACUUAUAACAUGUUUGGACUUUGAAUCAACUUAUUAUUCAUCAGAAUUAAGAACACCGGUUCAGUAAAGAAUUCAAUACAUUUUUCAUGAGAACAUCUUCUAUUAUAUACUUUAGUUUAAACCCACCCUAUUGACAUGAUCUCAUAGAGCUUAACGCGACUGGAUCCGAGCACGAAUGGCAAUCGUGAAGUCAGUUUUUCUAUUUUUCUGUCCAAUGGGUGAUGUUGUAAAAGAUGCAGAAGACCUGUGCUAAUUUCUAAGUUCGAAUGUGUAUGGAUGAAAAGGUGUGUCCACUAAAUAAUCAUUCUCCACUUCUUCUACCAGAUUUACCUAAUGAUGGUUCCUGGGAACAGACGAGAGGUUUUUGUAGCUUAUCUACUUAAUGGGAAAUGAAAGAUGAGAAAGGGGCAUUAUCAUAUGUUGAGUAGAGCUUUUGGAUAGAUGAGACACAUAUCAAGGACUCUGUCUUAAGGGCCUCAUUAAGUGGAAACAGAAACAAUCAAUUGCAUUUGCUGAUUAGAACAUUAGAAGAAAACAGUAGUAAAUGGCGCAUUGUUGUUGGAACUUGGAAACCAACCACUUACCAUCUGUGGAGAGAAUAAGGAGAAAAUGAAGAAAAAGCAAGUUUGUGAACUGUAUUUAGUAACUUUCGAAUUGUGUAAAUUCAGAGGAUAGAAAGGAUGUGCUAGGAGUUUAUUUAGGACAAAUGAGUAGAUAUGUUGAUACAAAGCCUGAAAACAAGAAUGGACAAGCCGACAAGUAAAGGAACAACACUAUGAAGGAUGGAGAAAACAACACUUACUUUUAAAGAACUUUUCUUUUAAAUUUUUUUUUUACAUUUGCACUUUAUAGUUUCUAUAAAUUUAUCCUUUAAAUUCUAGAAAAGAGAAAAUUAGCAUGUCUUAAGUAAACUGGAUCAUCUCCAUGAAAAUCCCGUGCAGUUUUACCUUUUUUUUUCCUAUUCUGUACGGGUGACAUGCUGGUCUAGAUGUUGUAGAAGAACAAUUGUUUGAUGAUAUUGAUUGUCAAGGUGUUGUGAA